rnacentral:rRNA from 1 species
UACGUAGGGGGCAAGCGUUGUCCGGAAUCAUUGGGCGUAAAGCGCGUGUAGGCGGUUCGAUAAGUCUGCUGUGAAAGUCCAGGGCUCAACCCUGGGAUGCCGGUCGAUACUGCCGGACUAGAGUUCGGAAGAGGCGAGUGGAAUUCCCGGUGUAGCGGUGAAAUGCGCAGAUAUCGGGAGGAACACCUAUGGCGAAGGCAGCUCGCUGGGACGUUACUGACGCUGGAGGAAGCGAAAGCGUGGGGAGCGAACAGG